rnacentral:lncRNA from 1 species
GCCGGACGCGGUGGCGCGCGCCUGUAAUCCCAGCUCCCCGGGAGGCUGAGGUCGGCGGAUCGUGGGUGCUCGGGGGUUCGGAGCUACGGCGCUGUGUGGAGCGGGCGUCCGCACCGGGCCUGGCACCAACAUGGUACUCCCGGGGGAGCCCGGGAGUACCAGGUUGUCUAAGGAGGGGGGGACCAGGCCCAGGCCGGACACGGAGCAGGUCAAACUCCCCGUGUUGGGCGACGGUGGGACCGCGCCUGCGAGCAACGCCUGCAGUUCCGCCCGGGACAUCCGACGAGACCCGGUCU